rnacentral:rRNA from 1 species
AUUGAACGCUGGCGGCAGGCUUAACACAUGCAAGUCGAGCGGAGAGAGGUAGCUUGCUACUGAUCUUAGCGGCGGACGGGUGAGUAAUGCUUAGGAAUCUGCCUAUUAGUGGGGGACAACAUUUCGAAAGGAAUGCUAAUACCGCAUACGUCCUACGGGAGAAAGCAGGGGAUCUUCGGACCUUGCGCUAAUAGAUGAGCCGAAGUCGGAUUAGCUAGUUGGUGGGGUAAAGGCCUACCAAGGCGACGAUCUGUAGCGGGUCUGAGAGGAUGAUCCGCCACACUGGGACUGAGACACGGCCCAGACUCCUACGGGAGGCAGCAGUGGGGAAUAUUGGACAAUGGGCGCAAGCCUGAUCCAGCCAUGCCGCGUGUGUGAAGAAGGCCUUAUGGUUGUAAAGCACUUUAAGCGAGGAGGAGGCUACUUUAGUUAAUACCUAGAGAUAGUGGACGUUACUCGCAGAAUAAGCACCGGCUAACUCUAUGCCAGCCGCCGCGGUAAGAC